rnacentral:rRNA from 1 species
GAGGGGGAUAACAGUUGGAAACGACUGCUAAUACCCCAUACUCCUUCUCAUUAUAAGAUGAGUCGGGAAAGUUUUUUCGCUAAAGGAUUGGGCUAUAUGGUAUCAGCUUGUUGGUGAGGUAACGGCUCACCAAGGCUAUGACGCCUAACUGGUCUGAGAGGAUGAUCAGUCACACUGGAACUGAGACACGGUCCAGACUCCUACGGGAGGCAGCAGUGGGGAAUAUUACACAAUGGAGGAAACUCUGAUGUAGCAACGCCGCGUGGAGGAUGACACAUUUCGGUGCGUAAACUCCUUUUAUAUGGGAAGAUAAUGACGGUACCAUAUGAAUAAGCACCGGCUAACUCCGUGCCAGCAGCCGCGGUAAUACGGAGGGUGCAAGCGUUACUCGGAAUCACUGGGCGUAAAGCGCAUGUAGGCGGUCUUGUAAGUUGGGUGUGAAAGCCUAUGGCUCAACCAUAGAACUGCACCCAAAACUACUAGACUAGAGUCUGGGAGAGGAAAAUGGAAUUAGUUGUGUAGGGGUAAAAUCCGUAGAGAUAACUAGGAAUACCAAAAGCGAAGGCAAUUUUCUGGAACAGUACUGACGCUCAGAUGCGAAAGCGUGGGUAGCAAACAGGAUUAGAUACCCUGGUAGUCCACG